rnacentral:misc_RNA from 1 species
AAAGUCGUAACAAGGUCUCCGUUGGUGAACCAGCGGAGGGAUCAUUAAAAGAAGCCGAAAGGCUACUUACAACCAUCGUGAACUCGUCCAAGUUGCUUCGGCGGCGCGGUGCCCUUCGGGGUGCCGCAGUCCGGCCCCCUCGGGGGUGCGGGGCGCCCGCCGGAGGUACAAAACCCUUCUGUAUUAUAGUGGAAUUCUGAUUAAACAAACAAAUAAGUUAAAACUUUCAACAACGGAUCUCUUGGUUCUG